rnacentral:lncRNA from 10 species
CAAACGCCCAACAAAACUGUCGACCUGGAUCCGUCCUUUUGAAAGCAAUGAAGCAUACCACAGGACAAAUAGCACAGUGUUACCAACGUAUAAUCGUAAAAUGAAAAGAGCAUUUAAAGGGCUGUGGAAUCAAAGGCCAGUGGCGGACAUGGGCCUCAUUCUCACUCGUCCAACUUCUCUUUCCAGCAAACCAUACCUUUUCUGCAAUUGUAGCUCAUCAUGUCAGAUGAAUGAAACUGAUUAAGGCAACUCUCUCCUGCCAACUUCACCAUAUUUGGAUGCAGCGUCUCAUCCUUCCAUCUCACCUGUCCAGGUAUGAUUUGCCUAGCAGUGAUAUUAUUUGUUAGAGACAGGACAAAUAAAUGUCCAUAUUUAUGUUAUUUCUAGUUUUUGCAGGACUUUAUAAUUAAUCAUUAGGAAAAAUCAUAAUGAUGAUAAAACUUAGAAAAAUGCUAAAGAAGUAAGUAUAACAGUUUAAAAAGAAAAAGAUUUAAAAAGGAGAUUCUGUCAUUUGCCACAACACAGAAGGACCUGGAGGACAUUAUACUAAGCGAAAUAAGGCAGAUACAGAAAAAAAAUUUGAUCUCACUUAUAUGUGGAAUGUAAAAACAGAAGGUCAAAUAUACAAAGAUAGGCCAGGUGCGGUGGCUCACAACUGUAAAUCCAGCAGAUUGGGAGGCUGAGGAAGGUGGAUCACUUGAGCCCAGGAGUUGAGACCAGCCUGGGUAACAUAGCAAGACCCUGACCCUACCAAAAACAGAAAAAAAUAGCUGGGCAUAGUGGCACGCAUCUGUAGUCCCAGCUAUUUGGGAGGCUGAGGCGGGAGGAUCCCUUGAGCCCGGGAGGCAGAGGUUGUGGUGAGCCGAGAUCAAACCAAUGCACUCCAGCCUAGGUGAAAAAGCCAGGCCCUGUCUCUCUCUCCACAUAGAUAGAUAGAUAGAUAGAUAGAUAGAUAGAUAGAUAGAUAGAUAGACAGACAGACAGACAGAUAGAUAGAUGUAUAUGUAUGUGUGUACAUACACACACACAAAGCUAGAGAAUAAAACAAUGGUUACCAGGGUCUUCAUGUGGUGGGGAAAUGGGGAGAUGUAGGUCAAAGGAUACAAAGUACUAAAUAUGUAAGAAAUAGGUUGAAAGAUCUAAUGUACAGCAUGAAGACUAUAGUUAAUAGUUGUGUAUUGUAGUCAAGAUCUUUGCUAAAUGAGUAAACUAUAGCUGCUCUUGCCACAGGGGGAAAAUGUGGGUAACUAUGUGAGUUGGGGGAGAUGUUAGUUAAUUUAUUCCACUAUAGUAGCCAUUUUACUAUAUAUAUGUAUCUUAUAACAUCGUAUUGUAUACCUUCCAUAUACAUAAUAAAAUAUAUUUUAUAAAUAAAUAAAUGUAUAUAUUGUGAUUUGGUUGCCCAGAAAAGAAAGAAAGAAAGAAGAAAGAAAGAAAGAAAGAAAGAAAGAAAGAAAGAAAGAAAGAAAGAAAGAAAGAAAGAAAGAAAGAAAGAAAAAGAAAGAAAGAAAGAAAGAAAAAGAAACAGAAGAAGUUGCAGAGCAAAAUAAUGAGGAGACUGGGCCAGACUGCAAGGUGACGAUGUAAGAAGAGUUUAUCUACCUUUAUUCUUGAUUGCAGCAUAAAUGUAAGGUAAGCUGCUCCUUCUGUAGACAACCCACUUGUUGUGAGGCUUUGGCCCUCAUGCCGCUGUUCCUGCAAGCUUUUGCUCUAAGAAGAAAUCUUCGUGCUCAGAAAAAAAAUUUGUCAUAAAAAUGAUGCAUGCUUGGAAAGUGUGACUAUGACUUGGCAUUUUUUCCUUUAAAGUUACUCAUUCCAGAAGAAAACACAUCAUUAAAACUUGCCCUAAAUAUCAGAGGUUUUAUUUCAGCAAAAUAUUUUGGGAUUCAUGAAUGCAUCAAACUAGAUAACAAUUAAUUUCCAUCAAGAGAAGGACUAUAACGUAUUAGCCAAAGUGCUAGAAACCAAAAGAAGAUGACUAGAUAACAAUCAGCAAAACUACUCACAAACAAGUUGUUUACUUUUAUAAAGUUUCCAAAUACAAAGUCAAACUAAUUCAUUUUGUUGAUUCGAAUGACAGUUUCUCUGACAGAGUGAAAAAAAAAUCAAAUAUUUUUGCCUUUAAACAUUUUAUGUGUUGUCCAGAAGGUAACGAUAUAUCCCUUUAGCCUUAAAACAAGAUUAGAUUUUUAAACCAAAAAUAUGACUGGGGGAAUCAUAAAAAGCCAGGAGAAAUUUUUCAUAUGCACUUCGAAAAAUACUGCUCUUACCUGGAAUUUACCAGAAUUCCUAUCUUACCUUUGUCCUUGCAUCAAUGAAGCAUUUAAUCUUGUCUGAAUUCCUUCAACAAGACCAAUGCAAGUGAUAUUGACUAGCAAGAAUUGUUCUUUAGGAAUGUGAAACUUCGAUGUCAAGUCUUAGCCAUAACAUGUGCUCCCAUGCACAACUAGACAUCUAUUGCCAAGGGGAGAGAGUCUUCCUUUUGCUACAAUUGUUGCCCUUUUUCCAAGUUCAGAGCAAAGACCUUUUUGAGAAAAGUAGAUGAAAAAUCAGGUCCAGGAUAAAUUGCAAAUGCAGGCUGUUUUUGUAGAGUGAGCAUGCCUUUCUUUAAGAUAGAAAUCAACUUUAGAAUUAGAUUAAUUAAAAUUUAAAUUUAGAAUGUAAAAAUAAGAGUCAAAGAGGCUUUUUAAAUUUACUUAUAUCCAAAUUUUGCAGGAUAUAUUGCUGGAAUACGACCAAAGAGUUUAACAUAUUAAACUAGGUAAAAUCUGAAAAAUAUUUUUAGUACAACUAGUUUAUAUUUCCCAUGUAUUAAUGCCUCUCGUUUUCCUGCUUCCUGUCUCCUUUGCCUGAUUUUCACUUCCUUUUCUCUUUUUUUCUUCUAUCACUAACCUUAGCUUGGAAGAGUUUCCAUGAUUCAAUCUUCUUCCAAUUUCUUUGUUCUCUUUGGCAGGAUCAAAGCUGAAUAGCACUUUUUAGAUUUUACAACAAUUACCCCAUUUGAUUUUUAUAGCCAUCUUGUGACAUAGUCCCAAAAGAUAUUAUCUUCUAUUCUACACCUAUCUGAAAUGAUACACCUAUUAAAUGGCAAUGUAAAAUCUCACAAGGCUCUUCCAAUUUUCUUCACCCUCUCCAAAUAGACCUCUCUUUUUCAUCAAUGAGGCCCCAGCAGUUAGUAUAGUCCCUAGCAUAUAAUAGGUGCUCAGUAAAUACAUAUUGAAUAAAUGAAUGAAUGAAUGAUAGCUAUACUUCUAUUUCUAUGAGAACUUCCACUUUUCAAAGUGCUUUUAUAUAUAUGAACUCCUCUGAAAAACACGUUUCAUGAAUUAGAUCAGCUACUUUGGUUCUCCAUUUUACUGCUAAAGAAAGUGUGGCUCAGAAAAGUAAAAGAAAUGCAUUCAUAAAUAGCCAAAAGUCUUUUUUUUCAGGCCAGCUUAGUGCCUAAAAAAAUUAAUAUAAGUAGAAUUUUCAACCCCAUAUGAACCUGUGGGCUAUUCUUCACUACAAAGUUAAGGUUAUGAUAAGUGCUAGUUAUUUUCACUAUUCUGCAUAGUCUCAAUAGUGUGUGUGUGCAUAUGUGUGUGCACAAGUGACUUUAUGUAUAUAUGUAUAUACACAC